AUUGAACGCUGGCGGCAGGCUUAACACAUGCAAGUCGAGCGAGCGGCGGAGGGGUGAGUAAUGUCUGGGAAACUGCCUGAUGGAGGGGGAUAACUACUGGAAAAGGUAGCUAAUACCGCUAACCAUCAGAUGGGCCCAGAUGGGAUUAGCUAGUAGGUGGGGUAAUGGCUCACCUAGGCGACGAUCCCUAGCUGGUCUUAGAGGAUGACCAGCCACACUGGAACUGAGACACGGCCCAGACUCCUACGGGAGGCAGCAGUGGGGAAUAUUGCACAAUGGGCGCAAGCCUGAUGCAGCAAUGCCGCGUGUAUGAAGAAGGCCUUCGGGUUGUAAAGUACUUUCAUCGGGGAGGCGUUACCCACAGAGGAAGCACCGGCUAACUCCGUGCCAGCAGCCGCGGUAAUUC
rnacentral:rRNA from 1 species